CACAUGUAAGUCUGUGAAGGCUUUCUGUUCAGUUGUUUACUCUUUAUUAUAGUGAUCUGGAAUGGUCAUAAAGAGUCUUUCAAAUUUUGAUUCUCCCAGAUAUAUGGCCUUAUGUUCACCUCCUGACUCAUAUGAAACUUUCCUUUUGUCAUGGAGAGAAUAUUUAAAUUCAGAGGAAAAAGUCCUAUAACCAAGGAGGAAGCAGAAAUGUGAUCCAGAAGGGAAACCAGAAGGGGGCCUGGCAGAAAGACAAUGGUGGUUCCUCCCUCAGGACACACUCCUGUUUCCACAGCUUCACAUCCAAUUGCAGAUGUUUCUGGGUCCUGUGAACUUGGGCAGACACUAGAAAUGACUGUAUUUUGUAAGAGUGUGAAGCAACGUGAAUAAUUCGAUCAGCAGUUUAGCUGGAGAGGAUUCUGUGCACCACACCUCUUCUAAGCUGUCAACUCAUUGUAUAGCACCCACCUAACUUCAGGGCUCCGGGGGCUUUUGCCGUUAUCCUCAUGGAACUGGGGAAUCGCUCAGAAGGAUCCUUUCCUGACUCGCUGUCCAGCAGGCACGAUGGAUGGCUCGGCUCAGUGCUGGAUGCAGUUCCUAUGCAAAAGUUGGACACUUCAAGCAUCCAUGGAGAUUACAAAGCACGGAAAUGCUGUAAACCACUGAAAGACUGGAGAAGAGGAAAGACAACCCAGGAGAAUUCAUCAUAAGAUAUUCAGUCCGAUAUUUCCUGAGGUACGCAGAGUCACAUCCAGCUUUUCUGGGAACCCAAACUCAAGACCUCAUGAUGAGCAUCAAAGAAGGCCCAUUCAGCCCAAGCUAUAUAGUAGAAUCCUUUUAAAAGACCAACCAAUAAUAAUAAAUAAUGCUUGCCUUCCACUCUGUA
rnacentral:lncRNA from 1 species